CUUUUCACUUUUUUUGUCUUUUGGAAAAUGUUGUACGUGCUGUAUUUAGACACCUCUAUUAAACGUAUUAAAAUUGCGGUUUUUAUCCAGCGCAAUCAUAGGUUUGAACGUUGUUUUCAAUUUAGACUAUUUAUAUGUUUUCGUUUGGGCUUGUAUUAUAUUUUCCUUCGGGUGAUUAUGAUCCAAUCCACCUAUUUCGACUCUUUAAAAUUUAAG
rnacentral:lncRNA from 1 species